UACGGGGGGGGUAAGCGUUGUUCGGAAUUACUGGGCGUAAAGGGCUCGUAGGCGGCCAACUAAGUCAGACGUGAAAUCCCCGGGCUCAACCCGGGAACUGCGUCCGAUACUGGCAGGCUUGAAUCCGGGAGAGGGAUGUGGAAUUCCAGGUGUAGCGGUGAAAUGCGUAGAUAUCUGGAGGAACACCGGUGGCGAAGGCGGGACUCUGGGCCGAUACUGACGCUGAGGAGCGAAAGCGUGGGGAGCAAACAGG
rnacentral:rRNA from 1 species